rnacentral:rRNA from 1 species
UACGUAGGCAGCGAGCGUUGUUCGGAGUUACUGGGCGUAAAGCGUGCGUAGGCGGUUGUCUAAGUCUGGUGUGAAAUCUCCCGGCUCAACUGGGAGGGUGCGCCGGAAACUGGAUGACUGGAGUGCCGGAGAGGUAAGCGGAAUUCCUGGUGUAGCGGUGAAAUGCGUAGAGAUCAGGAGGAACACCUGUGGUGUAGACAGCUUACUGGACGGUGACUGACGCUGAGGCACGAAGGCGUGGGUAGCAAACAGG